rnacentral:rRNA from 1 species
GACGAACGCUGGCGGCGUGCUUAACACAUGCAAGUCGAACGGAAAGGCCCUGCUUUUGUGGGGUGCUCGAGUGGCGAACGGGUGAGUAACACGUGAGUAACCUGCUCUUGACUUUGGGAUAACUUCAGGAAACUGGGGCUAAUAUCGGAUAGGAGCUCCUGCUGCAUGGUGGGGGUUGGAAAGUUUCGGCGGUCGGGGAUGGACUCGCGGCUUAUCAGCUUGCUGGUGGGGUAGUGGCUUACCAAGGGUUUGACGGGUAGCCGGCCUGAGAGGGUGACCGGCCACAUUGGGACUGAGAUACGGCCCAGACUCCUACGGGAGGCAGCAGUGGGGAAUAUUGCACAAUGGGCGGAAGCCUGAUGCAGCAACGCCGCGUGCUGGAUGACGGCCUUCGGGUUGUAAACCGCUUUCGCCUGUGACGAAGCGUGAGUGACGGUAAUGGGUAAAGAAGCACCGGCUAACUACGUG